GUCGUUGUAGUAUAGUGAUAAGUGUUCCCGCCUGUCACCCCGGUGACCCGGGUUCGAUCCCCGGGCAACGGCA
rfam:Nicotiana attenuata strain TT chromosome 3, whole genome shotgun sequence.